UAGGGAAUCUUCGGCAAUGGACGAAAGUCUGACCGAGCAACGCCGCGUGAGUGAAGAAGGUUUUCGGAUCGUAAAACUCUGUUGUUAGAGAAGAACAAGGACGUUAGUAACUGAACGUCCCCUGACGGUAUCUAACCAGAAAGCCACGGCUAACUACGUGCCAGCAGCCGCGGUAAUACGUAGGUGGCAAGCGUUGUCCCGAUUUAUUGGGCGUAAAGCGAGCGCAGGCGGUUUCUUAAGUCUGAUGUGAAAGCCCCCGGCUCAACCGGGGAGGGUCAUUGGAAACUGGGAGACUUGAGUGCAGAAGAGGAGAGUGGAAUUCCAUGUGUAGCGGUGAAAUGCGUAGAUAUAUGGAGGAACACCAGUGGCGAAGGCGGCUCUCUGGUCUGUAACUGACGCUGAGGCUCGAAAGCGUGGGGAGCAAACAGG
rnacentral:rRNA from 1 species